rnacentral:rRNA from 1 species
GCUUACGGCCAUACCAGAAAGCACGCCAUCCCGUCUGAUCUGGCAAGUUAAGCAACGUUAGGCCCGGUUAGUACUCGGGUCGGGACUGAUUGGGAAUCUCUGGUGUCGUAAGCC